CUUGGAGCUUGCUCCAGGAUCUUAGCGGCGGACGGGUGAGUAACACGUGGGCAACCUGCCCUGCAGAUCGGGAUAACUCCGGGAAACCGGUGCUAAUACCGAAUAGUUUGCGGCCUCUCAUGAGGCCACACGGAAAGACGGUUUCGGCUGUCACUGCAGGAUGGGCCCGCGGCGCAUUAGCUAGUUGGUGGGGUAACGGCCUACCAAGGCAACGAUGCGUAGCCGACCUGAGAGGGUGAUCGGCCACACUGGGACUGAGACACGGCCCAGACUCCUACGGGAGGCAGCAGUAGGGAAUCUUCCGCAAUGGACGAAAGUCUGACGGAGCAACGCCGCGUGAGUGAAGAAGGUUUUCGGAUYGUAAAACUCUGUUGUGAGGGAAGAACAAGUACCAASUAACUAYUGGUACCUUGACGGUACCUCACCAGAAAGCCACGGCUAACUACGUGCCAGCAGCCGCGGUAAUACGUAGGUGGCAAGCGUUGUCCGGAAUUAUUGGGCGUAAAGCGCGCGCAGGCGGUCCUUUAAGUCUGAUGUGAAAGCCCACGGCUCAACCGUGGAGGGUCAUUGGAAACUGGGGGGACUUGAGUGCAGAAGAGGAAAGUGGAAUUCCACGUGUAGCGGUGAAAUGCGUAGAGAUGUGGAGGAACACC
rnacentral:rRNA from 1 species